rnacentral:rRNA from 1 species
CUUUAUAGUCUAUUUAAAAGAAUACCGUGCAACAAUAAAGGUGCAAAGUUAAAAAACAAUGCAGCAACUUUAUGUGCAAACAAAGUAUUCAAUAUAUACUCAUUAAAGUGAAACGCAAUUAAGCAGACAGAUCACUCCACGAACUAAGAACGGCCAUGCACCACCUAUCACGCAAUCAUGAAAGGACUAGCAUAUUUGAUAUAAGAAUUGCUAUAUAUAAUUAAAAAUAAUUAUAUAUAGUCUUAUAAAAACCUGUCAAUCCUCAGCGUGUUCGGACCUGGUAAGAUUUCCCGCGUUGGGUCAAAUUAAGCCACAUGCUCCACGCGUUCUUGUGGUGCCCUUCCGUCAAUUCCUUCAAGUUUCACACGUGCGU